CUGGAGUUAAUCCUCGAGUCUGUUUUGCCCCUGAAAUUUCAAGACCGGAAGGACACCCGCCUCCUGCUAGUCUCCCCCAUCCCCAGCUUGGAGCUGGUAUCUCCAGAGAAGGGCGUGAACUCUGACCUUCCUCCGGAGGCCAGUGAAGGGCGGGAAAAACCGGGCAGACCGGGAGGACAACAGUGCGCAUGCCCAACUGGACUCUGUAGGAGGGAAAUGGUAGGAAGGCGAAAAGUGCGUGAAGUAGAGAGUGCGCGUGCGUACUACGGUCCGGGCAGGGGCGGGGCUACCUCGGCGUGAUUUCGCCCGGUACUGGGGCGGAGAGAGGGCGUAGAAAGGGCGGAGUUUCCAGGCUUGCGCGCACGCGCUACUCCUGGUCGCGUCGGGUGUGCGUGCGUGCGUGCGUGUUUGCGUGUGGUCACAGUUCCCGCCAUCAGCCGCUCUCCCUAACUGGGGGACUGAGCGGCCCCUCUCCGUGCCCGGCGUCCCUUCCUUCGCGACCCCCAGCUCCUCCCUCUCCACGCGGACUCCGUGCUUCCGGCAGGCCUGUCCAAAGCUCCGACUCGCAGGUACAGCUGAGUUGAUGGCACCUGGAGAACUGGCAUAGCUGCAGAAUAUGAGUAGUUCCCCAAGAAGAGUGCAUUGCCUUUGGCACAAGGAUCAGAAUAAAGGUGAAUUGUUAUUACAUAGGGUUUUUCAGUAAAAGUCUCUGAAAAGGAGCACUGGUGUGGGCUUCUCAACAUCCAUCAUACCCCAACUGAUAAGUCUAGGACAGUUGGGCCUGUCUUCCAUCCCACAUAGAAGAGAGAGACAAAGAGGUGUUUGAUAUAUAGCACCUUGGGGCCUUGAACUAGGGUUCUCCAGUCUAUAUCUUACCUCUAGGUGGGUUUUGUUUGAUUUGAAACUUUGAAUUCAUUGUCCAGAAUUUAAAAUGGGCAGUUUGACAUAAAAAUUUGAUUGCAUUUUCUUGAAGAAUUUGAUGAUCUGGUAAU
ensembl:lncRNA